AGCUCCAAUAGCGUAUAUUAAAGUUGUUGCGGUUAAAAAGCUCGUAGUUGGAUUUCUGUUGAGCGCAGCCCGUCUACCUUUUGGGUAUGUAUGUGGUUUGAGCUCGGCAUCUUCGUGGAAAACGUUUCUGCGCUUGAUUGCGUGGGGCGGGGUUCACGACUUUUACUUUGAGGAAAUUAGAGUGUUCACGGCAGGCAUACGCCUUGAAUAUAUUAGCAUGGAAUAAUAAUAUAGGAUCUUGGUUCUAUUUUGUUGGUUUCUAGGGCUAAGAUAAUGAUUAAUAGGGACAAUUGGGGGCAUUCGUAUUAACAAGUCAGAGGUGAAAUUCUUGGAUUUUGUUACGACGAACUACUGCGAAAGCAUUUGCCAAGGAUGUUUUCAUUGAUC
rnacentral:rRNA from 1 species